rnacentral:rRNA from 1 species
UACAGAGGUCUCAAGCGUUGUUCGGAUUCAUUGGGCGUAAAGGGUGCGUAGGUGGCGCGGUAAGUCGGGGUGUGAAAUCUCGGAGCUUAACUCCGAAAUUGCAUUCGAUACUGCCGUGCUCGAGGACUGGAGAGGAGACUGGAAUUCAUGGUGUAGCAGUGAAAUGCGUAGAGAUCAUGAGGAAGACCAGUGGCGAAGGCGGGUCUCUGGACAGUUCCUGACACUGAGGCACGAAGGCCAGGGGAGCAAACGGG